rnacentral:rRNA from 1 species
AAAGUUGAAAAGAACUUUGAAGAGAGAGUUCAAGAGUACGUGAAACCGUUCAGGGGUAAACCUGAGAAACCCAAAAGAUCGAAUGGGGAGAUUCAUCGUCAGCUCAUUUUGUAUAUAUAUAAGUUGUGAUGCGGGUUACUACUUGUAGUAUUGCCUGCACAUUCUUGUAUAUUUAUUAGCAAGAUGUUGUCGGCGUGCACUUCUCCCCUAGUAGGACGUCGCGACCCGUUGGGUGUCGGUCUACGGCCUAAGUGAUAGCCUUUGAUAUUUUUUAUAAUAUUGAAGAUCCUUAGUGUUUCCUGACCGGCUACUCGGCGGUACUCGUACGGUAUUAAGCCGCAUAAUUUUUAUGCGUCCAUAUCCGUCACAAGCGAGGCCAAUUUUACUAGUAGUACGGACCUAGUGCCGUCGCUGGUAUUGGUCAGCUGUUGGUUGUACGGUAUUCUAGGACUGGCUUUAAAUUUUAUUACCGGUCAGCGAUGCUACUGCUUUGGGUACUUUCAGGACCCGUCUUGAAACACGGACCAAGGAGUCUAACAUGUGCGCAAGUCAUUGGGAUUUUUUUAAAAUUAAACCUAAAGGCGUAAUGAAAGUAAAGGUCGUCCUUGCGUCGACCGAGGGAGGAUGAGUUGUAAUAUGUAUACAGCUUCGCACUCCCGGGGCGUCUCAUUCUUAUUACAAGAAGAGGCGCACCUAGAGCGUACACGUU